GUUUGCAGGUCCCAUUUUACAGAGUCUGAUCUCCUGUGCCUGGUUUCCAUUUCCUGUCACAGGACUCAGCAAACUUUGGGGGAGUUGUUGCCAGACCUGGGCUUGCUCCCGUAUAAAUUCCUGAAGACUCUUUUGCUGUUAAACCUAUCAGGCUUUCUAUCUAAGUAUUAGAGUCUGUGCUUUUCAAGGGUGGGAAUGAGAGACUGGUGAGAGCACUCAGGGAGCAGAGAACAUGGAGUCUGCUUGAAAACCCCCAGACUCACCAUGAGGGAGUGUGUCUGCUGGUGAGUGUUCUGCUAAGAUCUGGACUAAUAACACCUGAGAUCAUCCAGAGCCUCCUCCCCUGGGUGAAUUCCCCAACAGAAAACCGCCAAGUCACCAGCACAGCUUUCCUUGCCCAGAGCCUGGAGACUUUUUCCCCAUUUGAUGGGUUUUGUGGUGAGCUGGGUCAUGUAUAUGGACCUGGAGAAGAAAGAGGAGGUGGCAUUCAUUUGGAUGAAGAGGAAUUUUGGACAAUGGAUUAUGUCUGGAA